rnacentral:rRNA from 1 species
UACGUAGGGGGCAAGCGUUAUCCGGAUUUACUGGGUGUAAAGGGAGCGUAGACGGCAGCGCAAGUCUGAAGUGAAAGCCCCGGGCUUAACCCGGGAACUGCUUUGGAAACUGUACGGCUGGAGUGCUGGAGAGGUAAGCGGAAUUCCUAGUGUAGCGGUGAAAUGCGUAGAUAUUAGGAGGAACACCAGUGGCGAAGGCGGCUUACUGGACAGUAACUGACGUUGAGGCUCGAAAGCGUGGGGAGCAAACAGGG